rnacentral:rRNA from 1 species
UACAGAGGGUGCAAGCGUUGUCCGGAAUCACUGGGCGUAAAGGGCGCGUAGGCGGCGCGGUAAGUCACUUGUGAAAUCUCUGAGCUUAACUCAGAACGGCCAAGUGAUACUGCAGUGCUAGAGUGCAGAAGGGGCAAUCGGAAUUCUUGGUGUAGCGGUGAAAUGCGUAGAUAUCAAGAGGAACACCUGAGGUGAAGACGGGUUGCUAGGCUGACACUGACGCUGAGGCGCGAAAGCCAGGGGAGCAAACGGG